rnacentral:hammerhead_ribozyme from 1 species
AUCCAGCUGACGAGUCCCCAAAUAGGACGAAACACGCGUCCUGGAU